rnacentral:misc_RNA from 1 species
UCUCCGUAGGUGAACCUGCGGAGGGAUCAUUACUGAGUGAGGGCUCACGCCCGACCUCCAACCCUUUGCAAUCCAUACCAUGUUGCCUCGGGGGCGACCCGGCCUUCGGGUGUCGGGGCCCCCGGCGGACCCCCCAACGCUGCAUCUUUGCGUCCGAGUCUGAUUUGAAUCAAUCAAAACUUUCAACAACGGAUCUCUUGGUUCUGGCAUCGAUGAAGAACGCAGC